rnacentral:rRNA from 1 species
GGGUCAGUAGGUUGGUCGUGCCACCGGUACGUACUGGUCUCACUGAUUCCUCCUUCCUGAAGAACCGUAAUGCCAUUAAUUUGGUGUUGCGGGGAAGCAGGACUGUUACUUUGAAAAAAUCAGAGUGUUUAAAGCAAGCUAACGCUUGAAUACAUUAGCAUGGAAUAAUGAAAUAGGACGAUCGAUCCUAUUUUGUUGGUUUCUAGGAUUGACGUA